GUGGCUGCUCCUCGCUGCUAGCCGCCCCUAAAGCUCUUGUCGAGCAGGCAGAGGCUUGAUGCUGAGCAGGGCCUAUGGUUCUGUCGGAGGCCUGACAUGAGUCAAAAGGUUCAGAUGAAACAAUGAAACUGAUAUAGCUGAAACCCAAAUAUCUAUGCCAAGCAAACUCACUUAAAGUUACAUGCGAAAGAGAAGGUGCUUUACAUGCAAUCCAAAAUUGUAUAUAUUCAAAUAGGGCAAAGAAACAUAAGCACUGACAGCUAAUGCUCAUGAUUUUUUUAAUGUAUACAGUUUCAAAAGGAUAACUCCACCUUUCUCUCUCAGUUUUGACCGGACACAAUGCCUCUUGUAGAGCAUAUUUGUGAAAAUAUUUUUAUACAACUAAUGCACAUAUGAAAUCGACCAUGAAUAAAAAAUCAGCUAGAGACUUCAUAGGACUGAAAAUGAUACAUUGUGUCAUUAAAUAUGAAAGGUGUGUGGUAUUCAUUAAUUGACCAAAAAUUCUCAAAUAAUCACACAAGAUUCAGAAUGGAUCAGAAGACCUGCAUAUGCAAUCUGCACUAUGAAGUAACAUCGACAAAAAGGAUGAAAUUGCCCUAACUGUGUACGGAGGAAUAUCAUAUCCUUUAAUUUCUGACAUACUUAUUUGAACAUGUGUGUUUCUGAAUUUAUGCCUAACAACAAAAGUUUAAAGAAGACACAUCUGCAGACCCUUGGAAAGAAUGCAAUCGAUCAAUGCAAUAAUCCAGAAAGAUCAAUAGCAGCGCAGAUUAAUGCCAGAGAACUUGCAGGACACUACAGAGAGGACGAUGGAGAGCUACCCGUAGAUGUGGUUCGGGGGCUUGCAGGCUAGAAUCUCAUGCAACGGAGGCUCCAUCACUGGCGCUGCUUCUGUCGCGUCAUCAUACCCUAAGUGUCGCUUCCCCUUUGCUAUGUGCGUCCUCAGCUGCAGCCGCUUAGUUCUACCGGGAUCCGCAGCAAAGGAAGGCCGUGGGAUUUGGACCUGGACGAGGAGCGAUGGGGAUGGUGUUGCAGUGACAUGGGUGCGGGGACGGGGAACGGCGGCAUAUGCGGCCGCAGGGAGCGCGGACAGGGAGCGGCGACGUACGUGGCCGAGCUAGUGACUGCAGGGAUGGAGAGCGCGGCGGUGUACGCGGCCGUAGGAAGUGAGGACGGGGAGUUUAGGGGUUGUCGCAGGGAAGGGGAGGAGCAGAUGUGGGCGCAAGGAUGGAGAAAGCGUGUGGGAGAUGGUCGCAGGGCGUGAUUGGCGGAGCAGAAGGAGGGAGCGAGCGUCGCAGACCCGGCAGACGGACGAACGAAGAUGGAUUGUUGCACGAAAAAAUGUCCACUCUUUAGUCUUUUUAGUUGU
rnacentral:lncRNA from 1 species